AGUGAACGCUGGCGGUAGGCCUAACACAUGCAAGUCGAACGGCAGCACAGUAAGAGCUUGCUCUUACGGGUGGCGAGUGGCGGACGGGUGAGGAAUACAUCGGAAUCUACUUUUUCGUGGGGGAUAACGUAGGGAAACUUACGCUAAUACCGCAUACGACCUACGGUUGAAAGCAGGGGAUCUUCUGACCUUGCGCGAUUGAAUGAGCCGAUGUCGGAUUAGCUAGUUGGCGGGGUAAAGGCCCACCAAGGCGACGAUCCGUAGCUGGUCUGAGAGGAUGAUCAGCCACACUGGAACUGAGACACGGUCCAGACUCCUACGGGAGGCAGCAGUGGGGAAUAUUGGACAGUGGGCGCAAGCAUGAUCCAGCCAGACCGCGUGGGUGAAGAAGGCCUUCGGGAUGUAAAGACCUUUUGUUGGGAAAGAAAAGCAGCAGGUUAAUACCACGCUGUUCUGACGGUACCCAAAGAAUAAGCACCGGCUAACUUCGUG
rnacentral:rRNA from 1 species